rnacentral:rRNA from 1 species
AGAGUUUGAUCAUGGCUCAGGACGAACGCUGGCGGCGUGCUUAACACAUGCAAGUCGAGCGGAAAGGCCCUUCGGGGUACUCGAGCGGCGAACGGGUGAGUAACACGUGAGCAAUCUGCCCUUAGCUUCGGGGAUAGCUCCGGGAAACCGGAAUUAAUACCGGAUAUGACCACGGUCGACAUCUGCCGUGGUGGAAAGAUUUAUCGGCUAGGGAUGAGCUCGCGGCCUAUCAGCUUGUUGGUGGGGUAACGGCCUACCAAGGCGACGACGGGUAGCCGGCCUGAGAGGGCGACCGGCCACACUGGGACUGAGACACGGCCCAGACUCCUACGGGAGGCAGCAGUGGGGAAUAUUGCGCAAUGGGCGAAAGCCUGACGCAGCGACGCCGCGUGCGGGAUGAAGGCCUUCGGGUUGUAAACCGCUUUCAGCAGGGACGAAGCGAAAGUGACGGUACCUGCAGAAGAAGCGCCGGCUAACUACGUGCCAGCAGCCGCGGUAACACGUAGGGCGCAAGCGUUGUCCGGAAUUAUUGGGCGUAAAGAGCUCGUAGGUGGUCCGCCACGUCCGCUGUGAAAAUCCAAGGCUUAACCUUGGACUUGCAGUAGAUACGGGCGGACUAGAGGUAGGUAGGGGAGAAUGGAAUUCCCGGUGUAGCGGUGAAAUGCGCAGAUAUCGGGAGGAACACCGGUGGCGAAGGCGGUUCUCUGGGCCUUACCUGACACUGAGGAGCGAAAGCGUGGGGAGCGAACAGGAUUAGAUACCCCGGUAGUCC